rnacentral:pre_miRNA from 1 species
ACUUUACCGACCGGCCGUCGAUUAAUCGACGUUUUGUUCUCAGCGCAUACUGACCGGCCGUCGAUUAAUCGACGACCGGUCGGUAUGCGCUGAGAACAAAACAUCGAUUAAUCGACGGCCGGUCGGUAUGCGCUGAGAACAAAACGUCGAUUAAUCGACGGCCGGUCGGUAAAGUGUUA